rnacentral:rRNA from 1 species
UGCUUUUGUGGGGUGCUCGAGUGGCGAACGGGUGAGUAACACGUGAGUAACCUGCCCUUGACUUUGGGAUAACUUCAGGAAACUGGGGCUAAUACCGGAUAGGAGCUCCUGCUGCAUAGUGGGGGUUGGAAAGUUUCGGCGGUUGGGGAUGGACUCGCGGCUUAUCAGCUUGUUGGUGGGGUAGUGGCUUACCAAGGCUUUGACGGGUAGCCGGCCUGAGAGGGUGACCGGCCACAUUGGGACUGAGAUACGGCCCAGACUCCUACGGGAGGCAGCAGUGGGGAAUAUUGCACAAUGGGCGGAAGCCUGAUGCAGCAACGCCGCGUGCGGGAUGACGGCCUUCGGGUUGUAAACCGCUUUCGCCUGUGACGAAGCGUGAGUGACGGUAAUGGGUAAAGAAGCACCGGCUAACUACGUGCCAGCAGCCGCGGUGAUACGUAGGGUGCGAGCGUUGUCCGGAUUUAUUGGGCGUAAAGGGCUCGUAGGUGGUUGAUCGCGUCGGAAGUGUAAUCUUGGGGCUUAACCCUGAGCGUGCUUUCGAUACGGGUUGACUUGAGGAAGGUAGGGGAGAAUGGAAUUCCUGGUGGAGCGGUGGAAUGCGCAGAUAUCAGGAGGAACACCAGUGGCGAAGGCGGUUCUCUGGGCCUUUCCUGACGCUGAGGAGCGAAAGCGUGGGGAGCGAACAGGCUUAGAUACCCUGGUAGUCCACGCUGUAAACGGUGGGUACUAGGUGUGGGGUCCAUUCCACGGGUUCCGUGCCGUAGCUAACGC